rnacentral:tRNA from 2 species
UGCGGGGUGGAGCAGCCUGGUAGCUCGUCGGGCUCAUAACCCGGAGGUCGUAGGUUCAAAUCCUACCCCCGCUCCCA